UACGUAGGUGACAAGCGUUGUCCGGAUUUACUGGGCGUAAAGAGCGCGCAGGCGGUCGUUCAAGUCGAGUGUGAAAGCCCCCGGCUCAACUGGGGAGGGUCAUUCGUACUGAUCGACUCGAAGGCAGGAGAGGGAAGUGGAAUUCCCGGUGUAGUGGUGAAAUGCGUAGAUAUCGGGAGGAAUACCGGUGGCGAAGGCGGGUCUCUGGGCAACAACUGACGCUGAGGAGCGAAAGCGUGGGGAGCGAACAGG
rnacentral:rRNA from 1 species